rnacentral:rRNA from 1 species
GACGAACGCUGGCGGCGUGCUUAACACAUGCAAGUCGAACGCUGAAGCCCAGCUUGCUGGGUGGAUGAGUGGCGAACGGGUGAGUAACACGUGAGUAACCUGCCCCCUUCUUUGGGAUAACGCCCGGAAACGGGUGCUAAUACUGGAUAUUCACUGAUCUUCGCAUGGGGGUUGGUGGAAAGGUUUUUUCUGGUGGGGGAUGGGCUCGCGGCCUAUCAGCUUGUUGGUGGGGUGAUGGCCUACCAAGGCUUUGACGGGUAGCCGGCCUGAGAGGGUGACCGGUCACAUUGGGACUGAGAUACGGCCCAGACUCCUACGGGAGGCAGCAGUGGGGAAUAUUGCACAAUGGGCGAAAGCCUGAUGCAGCGACGCCGCGUGAGGGAUGACGGCCUUCGGGUUGUAAACCUCUUUCGCUCAUGGUCAAGCCGCAGCUUUGGGUUGUGGUGAGGGUAGUGGGUAAAGAAGCGCCGGCUAACUACGUGCCAGCAGCCGCGGUAAUACGUAGGGCGCGAGCGUUGUCCGGAAUUAUUGGGCGUAAAGGGCUUGUAGGCGGUUGGUCGCGUCUGCCGUGAAAUCCUCUGGCUUAACUGGGGGCGUGCGGUGGGUACGGGCUGACUUGAGUGCGGUAGGGGAGACUGGAACUCCUGGUGUAGCGGUGGAAUGCGCAGAUAUCAGGAAGAACACCGGUGGCGAAGGCGGGUCUCUGGGCCGUUACUGACGCUGAGGAGCGAAAGCGUGNGGAGCGAACAGG